rnacentral:rRNA from 1 species
ACAUGCAAGUCGAACGAUGAAGCCCAACUUCGUGGGUGGAUGAGUGGCGAACGGGUGAGUAACACGUGAGUAACCUGCCCUAAACUCUGGGAUAAGCCUGGGAAACUGGGUCUAAUACUGGAUAUGACUCCUCUACUGCUGGUGGGGGUGGAAAGAUUUAUUGGUCUUGGAUGGACUCCCGGCCUAUCAGCUUGUUGGUGAGGUAAUGGCUCACCAAGGCGACGACGGGUAUCCGGCCUGAGAGGGUGACCGGCCACACUGGGACUGAGACACGGCCCAGACUCCUACGGGAGGCAGCAGUGGGGAAUAUUGCACAAUGGGCGGAAGCCUGAUGCAGCGACGCCGCGUGAGGGAUGACGGCCUUCGGGUUGUAAACCUCUUUCAGUAGGGAAGAAGCGAAAGUGACGGUACCUGCAGAAGAAGCACCGGCUAACUACGUGCCAGCAGCCGCGGUAAUACGUAGGGUGCGAGCGUUAUCCGGAAUUAUUGGGCGUAAAGAGCUCGUAGGCGGUUUGUCGCGUCUGCCGUGAAAGUCCGGGGCUUAACCCCGGAUCUGCGGUGGGUACGGGCAGACUAGAGUGCAGUAGGGGAGACUGGAAUUCCUGGUGUAGCGGUGAAAUGCGCAGAUAUCA